rnacentral:misc_RNA from 1 species
CCCAUAAGUUCCAGAGGGCACGCACUUGCACUUUUCACAGCAUAUUCCACAGUACUUCAAGCACCGAUCUUUCACUCCUGCUUUGGCGCACCUCACCUUACACUUUGACUCACAGAAUGCUGAACCAGCCACCGUAAGCUCAAAGAAAGAGGAAGUAAGAACAAUACAGGCCAGCAAAAGGAUUGCAAAGAAUGGCUUCAUUUUUUCUCUCCUCAGUAUGACUCGACUGUUGCCGAAAGAUCACUUAUGAAUGUAGUACAAAGUUGCGAGUGAGUAUGCAAAGAGAUGAAGGAGAGGG